rnacentral:tRNA from 1 species
GGGGUCGUGGCUCAGCGGUAGAGCGCUCACCUAGCAAGUGAGCAGCCCUAGGUUGGAUCCUCAGCACCA